rnacentral:rRNA from 1 species
UGGGGAAUUUUGGACAAUGGGCGAAAGCCUGAUCCAGCAAUGCCGCGUGUGUGAAGAAGGCCUUCGGGUUGUAAAGCACUUUUGGCAGGAAAGAAACGUCGCGGGUUAAUACCCCGCGGAACUGACGGUACCUGCAGAAUAAGCACCGGCUAACUACGUGCCAGCAGCCGCGGUAAUACGUAGGGUGCAAGCGUUAAUCGGAAUUACUGGGCGUAAAGCGUGCGCAGGCGGUUCGGAAAGAAAGAUGUGAAAUCCCAGAGCUUAACUUUGGAACUGCAUUUUUAACUACCGGGCUAGAGUGUGUCAGAGGGAGGUGGAAUUCCGCGUGUAGCAGUGAAAUGCGUAGAUAUGCGGAGGAACACCGAUGGCGAAGGCAGCCUCCUGGGAUAACACUGACGCUCAUGCACGAAAGCGUGGGGAGCAAACAGGAUUAGAUACCCUGGUAGUCCACGCCCUAAACGAUGUCAACUAGCUGUUGGGGUCUUCGGACCUUGGUAGCGCAGCUAACGCGUGAAGUUGACCGCCUGGGGAGUACGGUCGCAAGAUUAAAACUCAAAGGAAUU